rnacentral:misc_RNA from 1 species
GAUGAAGAACGUAGCGAAAUGCGAUAAGAAAUGUGAAUUGCAGAAUUCAGUGAAUCAUCGAAUCUUUGAACGCACAUUGCGCCCGCCAGUAUUCUGGCGGGCAUGCCUGUUCGAGCGUCAUUUCAACCAUCAAGCCCCCGGCUUGUGUUGGGGACCUGCGGCUGCCGCAGGCCCUGAAAACCAGUGGCGGGCUCGCUAGUCACUCCGAGCGUAGUAAUACAUCUCGCUCAGGGCGUGCUGCGGGUUCCGGCCGUUAAAAAGCCUUAUUUACCCAAGGUUGACCUCGGAUCAGGUAGGAAGACCCGCUGAACUUAAGCAUAUCAAUAAGCGGAGGA